rnacentral:rRNA from 1 species
UACGUAGGGGGCUAGCGUUGUCCGGAAUCAUUGGGCGUAAAGCGCGCGUAGGCGGCCAGAUAAGUCCGGUGUGAAAGUCACAGGCUCAACCUGUGAAUGCCGCUGGAAACUGUCUGGCUAGAGUCCGGAAGGGGCGAGUGGAAUUCCUGGUGUAGCGGUGAAAUGCGCAGAUAUCAGGAGGAACACCAAUGGCGAAGGCAGCUCGCUGGAACGGUACUGACGCUGAGGCGCGAAAGCCAGGGGAGCAAACGGG